rnacentral:rRNA from 1 species
AUGUCAAUCCGGCUCCAAGACGACAACUUUGCCCUUCUUAAUAAACUGUUCUCAGCUGAUGCUCAAGGUAUCCCUCUCACAGUUGAGGAUGUCCGGGCAACCCACCACAUCCUACACAUGAUGAUGAGUCCGGUUUAUACUGCCAGCAUUAUCCAUACCAAAAGAGGGCUGGUUGUCCAUGUUCGUCACAUGCUGGAGGCUAGUUGCUCCGAAACUACAUCGUUCUCUACUACGACGGACGCCAGGACCGCCACCACCAUCUUGGGCUGGGAUGGAAUCCCCAUCUCGUCGUUGCAGUCCGGAGUCCUGCCUGACAAGCUGCAAGAUUGCCUGGGAAAAGCAAUAGCAGAUGGCCGGAAACACAAUUUCAAGACACCAUGUGGCGGCGGCGACGCAUGCGAUUACCUGCAGUCUCUCAAGAUGUACCUCCAUGGUAUAAUUCACAACUUGUACAUCAAGGCCCUCAAGUUGCUGCCCACACCCUCUGGCUCGCUCAUGCGCAGCAUCCUCAAGGCCGGCCACUGCUACGGCAGCAUGGACCCUGUCUCCAACAUCAUCGUCAACUCCAUCUGGUACAACAGCUGUGGCUGCGAUCUGCCAGUUUCUGAACGAAGGGACAUGGUAGAGUACAAUGACGUCCUGGACCCCCUAUGUCUGCUCCGCGCACAGGUUCACUCCCUCAAGGGCCUUAUGGAGCUCGCUGCAUUCGCCGAACCCCAAUUCUCGGUGGCGGCUUGUGCUCUAGAGCUCCUCUGCAGUACAAAAUGCGACAUUGCUAGCAUGUUGCCAUCAUCGACAGAGAGUUCUGAAAAGAACCCCUUCCAUGAGUCUGCCAAGGCCGCUGGACACACUCGGCCCCUUGGGCUGGGUGAACUGCACCAGCAGCUGCUGCUGAUGCCCGAUGCGCGAAGCGAGCUGCUCUCAUUUAUAACCGAGGCUCAAACUAGCGGUACCGUGUUGCGCAUCGACGACAUGACACAAAGUAUUUCGCUCAUGUGGAACAGAAACAGAUCCGGGGCUCAAACUGUGCAAGCUCCCGAACUUUGUGCGGGGGCAUUGAGGGCGGUGUCAAGCGAGCGAUCAGAUUAUGAGGAUGAGAGGAGCCGGCUCCGUUCAAAGAUUGAACAGUUGCUCAAGGAAUACACGACCAAACAGUUUUUGGGAUCAGAGUAUAAACUUGAUACUAUCUUGGGUGUGGAUGAAAGACACAAAGGCUACUACCCUGGCGGUUAUAUUUGCUACCAUGUGAACUUCACGGCCACAUGUGAUUUGAGGCUUCAAAGGACGCUUUUCUACGCUGAAUUCUCGUCAUCCUCAUGUGAACCGGAGCCAGAAUUCUGCUGCCCUCUACCCUAUGCGAAUGCGGGGCGUUGCUACUAUGGCGUGCUUAGUGCGAGGAAAAUCGUGUAUCCAGAUGACGCCAAGUACAUCCCGGACGAUAUCACCGUCCGCGGAACCCGCAGCGCGGAUGGCAUGCUAGGGAUGGACCUGGUCUACUUCAGUCCCAAGUUGGACGUGGAGAUUGCUGAGAAUCUGAAUGUGUUGCACAGUGAAGAAGAAGAAGAAAAGAGGAAGAAGAAGAGGAGGGGGAGGGGGAUGUGUCGUCCAAAUUAA